rnacentral:tRNA from 1 species
GCUUUCGUAGCUUAAGAAAAAGCAUGGGGCUUUUAACCUUGUGAUGCAUAUGUGCCGAAAGUUC